CAUGUGUGUAUACUUGUGUGUGCAUGUAUAUGUGUCUAUAUGAAUAUACAUAUACAUACACACCCAUAUACACACGCAUGCACGGAAACACAAAAACAU
ensembl:miRNA Mir466f-3 microRNA 466f-3